UAGCUUGAAAAAAAAAAAACAUGUUUACCAUAUACAAAUAACAAAACCUAUAGUUACGAUUUAUGAAUGCAACUAACCUCAUCAUCAUACACGCAACUCCUCAAAACGCCAAAUGUAUGGGGUUGCAGUAAAAUAUAUAUAUAUUCAAGUCCACCUUAGUAGCCAAAAAUAGAAAACCCACCCUUAAGAGUAAUGUUGACGUAAGAAAAAAAGUUGUAAGCUAAGUCACCUUCAAAGAACCAACCAUCACACCAACUUAGCACAAUGUGCUUACUCACUCGCCUAGAUCACUCCAUGAUCAAAAAUGACACAAUUAUAUAUAUGCCUUAUGUAUAUGCUAGGACCUAAGGUCUUUGGUCCCUUCGCACCAAGAAAAUGAAGUAUCCGAUCAUAAGUUUAAUGACAUUUAGUACUAUAUAUAUAGCAGAACAUUGCGAUUCUACAAAAAAAUGUAGAAUCUGAUCACAAGAUUAAUGAAACUUUUGAACAUUUAGUACCUUACCUCUUAAUUUGAGUAAGAAGUGUUCCAUCUUGAUUUGCUAUUCAUAUCCCCUAGAAAAAAAAACAAGUAAAAACA
rnacentral:lncRNA from 1 species